rnacentral:lncRNA from 1 species
CUUGUAUGUGUGAAGUUUUGAAAAAAGAUUUCUGUACUCUAAAAGGGGAAAAAAGAGAGAUACCUCUCUAACUUGUCUUUAUUAAUAAUACUUUCAUGCUGUUAUUGUUUGCAUACAUUUACUGAGCACAGCAGAGCUAAUUCCCUUGCUCUGGUUUUGUCCUAGAAAACCAGAAAACACUGGUGUGAAACAAUUUAUCUAAAAGCAAGGUGGCUUAAUUAUGUUUAUGUUUUAUCUUUAAUAAAGAUAGGGUGGGUUUAGGAUAAACACUUUUGUUUUGUAGCAACUUUGAAUUUUCCUUUUUCCUUGCUGCUGUAGCAGUAAUUGCUCAUAUGCUUACUACCUGUCAUACAAACACACAGCUCCACAGAGGGAUGGGGAAGGCUCAGAAACAGAAAAUGUAUUUGGGAGACCCAGCAAAAUACCCAGAAGCCUGUUUUUUAAGGCUGAUUGAUGCCAACAGGCAGAUCCUCCUACAGUGUGGAGCAGCAGUGUGCUGAUCUCAACACAGAUAAAUGGUUUGGUGGGGGCUGAAAAUCCAGACCUGUGCAUGUGUGAUUCUCUCCUGGUGCUGAUGCAGUUAUCACCACUGUGCCUGAGAAAGGCUGUCUUUGUCUCCUACUCUCCUCUCUUUCCAGCCCAGUGACCCCACAAUGCAGUGCCUCUGCUCUUGUGGAAGGCUGUCUGUGCUGGGGACGAGCUGUGUUUAUGGCUGGGUGUCACUCACUGUGGGAGCUGUGAUGCCACAGCCUUGGUGGCAGCAAGUGCACACUGGCACUGGCACUGCUCCAGCCUUGUUGCUUGCACCAGAGCCCCUGAGCUCCCCUGGCCUGUCCAGCUCAGCCCACACUGCCACCCCAGACUUUAAUCCAUUACAAAAAAAAUGAGCUGGAGAAAAGAGCAGUCUGAUGACUUAUACUGAAGGAUAUAUUUGUGAAAACUAAAGCUUAUCUAGAAGCUGGAGAAUAUCUUUCAGAGAGAGACAAUUAUUAAGUUAGAGAAAGAGACAAAUCCUGAGGUGAGUUUCUUCUAAGUUUAACUGUUAUCCUGAUUAAAGACGCAUACAUUAUUUCUUGUCUGAAUGUAUUUAACUUCAGCUAGAUCUGGCUGUCAGAUACUGUUAUAACUUUUCUUCUAAAAU